rnacentral:siRNA from 1 species
CUGCCUGUCAAUUACUACCAUG